rnacentral:rRNA from 1 species
GUCUACAGCCAUACCACACUGAACAUGUCUGAUCUUGGAAGCUAAGCAGGGUUGGGCCUGGUUAGUAUUUGGAAGGGAGACUGCCUGAGAAAACCGGGUGCUGUAGGCU